rnacentral:rRNA from 1 species
AGAGUUUGAUCAUGGCUCAGGACGAACGCUGGCGGCGUGCCUAACACAUGCAAGUCGAACGAGGUCCAUCCAGUGGCAACACUGGUGAAGACCUAGUGGCGAACGGGUGAGUAACACGUGAGGAACCUGCCCCGAAGACCGGGAUAACCCUCCGAAAGGAGAGCUAAUACCGGAUGCCCUUUCCGGACCGCAUGAUCCGGCAAGGAAAUGGAUUCCGCUUCGGGAGGGUCUCGCGGCCUAUCAGCUUGUUGGUGGGGUAACGGCCCACCAAGGCUUCGACGGGUAGCUGGUCUGAGAGGACGAUCAGCCACACUGGGACUGAGACACGGCCCAGACUCCUACGGGAGGCAGCAGUGGGGAAUCUUGCGCAAUGGGCGAAAGCCUGACGCAGCAACGCCGCGUGGGGGAUGAAGGCUCUCGGGUUGUAAACCCCUUUCAGCAGGGACGAAUUUGACGGUACCUGCAGAAGAAGCCCCGGCCAACUACGUGCCAGCAGCCGCGGUAACACGUAGGGGGCGAGCGUUGUCCGGAUUUAUUGGGCGUAAAGAGCUCGUAGGCGGCUCAGUAAGUCGGGUGUGAAACCUCCAGGCUCAACCUGGAGACGCCACCUGAUACUGCUGUGGCUGGAGUCCGGUAGGGGAGCGUGGAAUUCCUGGUGUAGCGGUGAAAUGCGCAGAUAUCAGGAGGAACACCAGCGGCGAAGGCGGCGCUCUGGGCCGGUACUGACGCUGAGGAGCGAAAGCGUGGGUAGCAAACAGGAUUAGAUACCCUGGUAGUCCACGCCGUAAACGUUGGGCACUAGGUGUGGGUCUCAACCAACGGGAUCUGUGCCGUAGCUAACGCAUUAAGUGCCCCGCCUGGGGAGUACGGCCGCAAGGCUAAAACUCAAAGGAAUUGACGGGGCCCGCACAAGCGGCGGAGCAUGUUGCUUAAUUCGAGGCAACGCGAAGAACCUUACCUGGGUUUGACAUGUAGGGAAAAGCCGUAGAG